rnacentral:rRNA from 1 species
AGAGUUUGAUCCUGGCUCAGAACGAACGCUGGCGGCGUGCUUAAUACAUGCAAGUCGAACGUGAUUCCGUAGCAAUACGGAUGAAAGUGGCGAACGGGUGAGUAACACGUAAGUAAUCUGCCUCCAGGAUCGGGAUAACCCUGCCAACGCGGGGCUAAUACCGGAUGUGGUCCAGCAGACACAUGUUUGCUGGAUUAAAGGUCGCGAGACCGCUUGGAGAUGAGCUUGCGGCCCAUUAGCUAGUUGGUGAGGUAACGGCUCACCAAGGCUCGGAUNGGUAGCCGGCCUGAGAGGGUGUACGGCCACAUUGGGACUGAGAUACGGCCCAGACUCCUACGGGAGGCAGCAGUAGGGAAUUUUGCGCAAUGGACGAAAGUCUGACGCAGCAACGCCGCGUGAAGGAUGACUGCCUUCGGGUUGUAAACUUCUGUUGGAUGGGAAAAAAAGCCACGUAAGUGGAAUUGAUGGUACCAUUC